rnacentral:rRNA from 1 species
GGUUGAUCCUGCCGGCGGCCACUGCUAUGGGAGUACGCUUAAGACAUGCGAGUCGAGAGGGUUCGGCCCUCGGCGCAUUGCUCAGUAACACGCGGACAAUCUGCCCUAUGGUGGAGGAUAACCUCGGGAAACUGAGGAUAAUACUCCAUAGAACUCCUCUGCUGGAAGGCUUGGAGUUCGAAAGCUCAGGCGCCAUAGGAUGAGUCUGCGGCCUAUCAGGCUGUAGUGGGUGUAAAUGACCCACUAACCUAUGACGGGUACGGGCCUUGGGAGAGGUUGCCCGGAGAUGGGCUCUGAGACAUGAGCCCAGGCCCUACGGGGUGCAGCAGUUACGAAAACUUCACAAUGCGCGCAAGCGCGAUGAGGGAACUCCUAGUGAUACCACUUCGGUGGUAUCUGUUCAGAUGCCUAAAAAGCAUCUGGAGAAAGGGCCGGGUAAGACGGGUGCCAGCCGCCGCGGUAAUACCCGCGGCCCGAGUGGUGGUCAUUAUUAUUGAGCCUAAAACGUUCGUAGCCGGUCCGAUAAAUUCCCGGGUAAAUCGUAUGGCUUAACCAUGCGAAUUCCAGGACGACUGUCGGACUAGGGACUGGGGGAAGCCUAGGGUAUUCCCGGGGUAGGGGUAAAAUCUUGUAAUCCCGGGAGGACCACCAGUGGCGAAGGCGCUAGGCUAGAACAGAUCCGACGGUGAGGAACGAAGGCUGGGGUAGCAAACGGGAUUAGAUACCCCGGUAGUCCCAGCUGUAAACGCUGCGGACCUGGUGUCGGGAGAUCUGCGAGAUCCCCCGGUGCCGGAGCGAAGGUGUUAAGUCCGCUGCUUGGGGAGUACGGUCGCAAGACUGAAACUUAAAGGAAUUGGCGGGAGAGCACCGCAACGGGAGUAGCGUGCGGUUUAAUUGGAUUCAACGCCGGAAAACUCACCGGGAGCGACGGCUACAUGAAGGCCAAGCUGAUGACUUUGCCUGAUUAGCCGAGAGGUGGUGCAUGGCCGUCUUCAGUUCGUACCGUGAGGCGUUCUGUUAAGUCAGAUAACGAACGAGACCCUCGUCCACAAUUGCCACCCUUUUCUCCGGAAAAGGAGCACAUUGUGGGGACUGCCGGCGCUAAGUCGGAGGAAGGGGAGGUCGGCGGUAGGUCCGUAUGCCCCGAAUCUCCCGGGCAACACGCGCGCUACAAAGGUAGGGACAAUGGGCUUACAACGCCGAAAGGCGAAGUCAAUCCUGAAACCCUAUCGUAGUCUGGAUUGAGGGUUGUAACUCACCCUCAUGAAAAAGGAUUCCGUAGAAAUCGCGGGUCAACAUCCCGCGGUGAAUACGCCCCUGCUCUUUGCACACACCGCCCGUCAUGUCACCCGAGUUGGGCCUGAAUGGGGUAUUGCUAUCAUGGCACUCUCGAGUUCAGGUUCAGCGAGGAGGACUAAGUCGUAACAAGGUA